rnacentral:rRNA from 1 species
GCGCAGCAGGCGCGAAAUUUGGGCAAUGGGCGCAAGUCUGACCCAGCGACGCCGCGUGAGGGAUGAAGUCCUUCGGGAUGUAAACCUCUGUUGAGGGGGACGAUAAUGACGGUACCCCUCGAGGAAGCCUCGGCUAACUCCGUGCCAGCAGCCGCGGUAAUACGGAGGAGGCAAGCGUUGUCCGGAAUCACUGGGCGUAAAAGGGUGUGUAGGUGUCCUGAUGGGUCAGGUGUGAAAUCCAACAGCUUAACUGUUGAACUGCAUCUGAAACUAUCGGGAUUGAGGACAUGAGGGGAGAGUGGAACUCGCGGUGUAGCGGUAGAAUGCGUGGAUAUCGCGAGGAAUGCCGAUGGCGAAGGCGGCUCUCUAGCGUGUUCCUCGUAUGAGGAGCCGAAUAAUUUUAAAUCUUCGGGUUAUGAUUAUUCGGUCCUGACACUGAAACACGAAAGCUGGGGAGCGAACGGGAUUAGAUACCCGCGUAGU